GACGAACGCUGGCGGCGUGCCUAAUACAUGCAAGUCGAGCGGACCAAAGGGAGCUUGCUCCUGGAGGUUAGCGGCGAACGGGUGAGUAACACGUGGGCAACCUGCCUGUAAGACUGGGAUAACAUCGAGAAAUCGGUGCUAAUACCGGAUAAUAAAAGAACUGCAUGGUUCUUUUUGAAAGAUGGUUUCGGCUAUCACUUACAGAUGGGCCGCGGCGCAUUAGCUAGUUGGUGAGGUAACGGCUCACCAAGGCGACGAUGCGUAGCCGACCUGAGAGGGUGAUCGGCCACACUGGGACUGAGACACGGCCCAGACUCCUACGGGAGGCAGCAGUAGGGAAUCUUCCGCAAUGGACGAAAGUCUGACGGAGCAACGCCGCGUGAGUGAUGAAGGUUUUCGGAUCGUAAAACUCUGUUGUUAGGGAAGAACAAGUGCCGUUCGAAAGGGCGGCAACCUUGACGGUACCUAACGAGAAAGCCACGGCUAACUACGUGCCAGCAGCCGCGG
rnacentral:rRNA from 1 species